AGGUCUUGACAUCCCCUGACACUCCUAGAGAUAGGAAUUUCCCCUUCGGGGGACCGGAUGAU
rnacentral:rRNA from 1 species